AAAAAAUAAAAACCACCGAGGGAGGUGGAAACGGUCAGCCUCAAACCACGCUGUGUCGGUGGCACGGAGCUGCUACGCAGAAUGCCGCUGCGAUGCGGAACCUGCCAUGUAGGAAAGGACAGAACGCGCCGCAGCAGCUCCGGCUCACGGGGGGCAGCGGGACCCUCCGGGCUCUGCGUCCUGGGGCCGCGCUCCCGACCCCGACCCUCGCCCCGCCCCCGGCCCGCAGUGCCGCCCCAGCCCCGCAGAGGAGACCCCGCGGGGUUCGCUCGGCUUCGGAGCUGCGGGAAGGGCACCGCGUCCCCGUUCCUCUGCACCAUUCCCCCGCCGUAAGAAACCUGUGGAGCAUCACACACAAAAGCGGGAUUACCCGAUGCGGCACUUGGGGAGGAGAUGUGCGAAGUGAGAGCAGUGUGGCGAAGCAGCAGAGGCAGAAGGCAGGACAUGGCAGGAGCACACCAGGAGCCACGAACUGCGUGCCACUGAGCCACGCUCCUCAGGCAUGGCGAGGUAACAUCACACCUGUCCUCUGACCAAACCAGGGAAGGUGGAUGCGUUUUAUGGACAUGUGGCUUCCUGGCAAACCCCACGAGGAAAUGAUCCAUUGAUGGGUCCGGUCCUCAUCCCUCGCUGCGUGCUGCCGGGCCAUCUCUGCGCAGUGGGGCUGUGCCAGCUCAGGAAGGGACCCUGGAAGUAAUGCACAGGAUUGGAGUUCUGCAGGAGAGCUGCUCUGUCAGACCUUCAGAGGGCUUUGAGAACAGAACUGCUGCCUCGUUCGGACGCCUUGUUGCAGCUGGAACACACAUUUUGUUUGGAGGCAGAAGAAGUCUUAUCUGCCUGUACCAGUACACGGAACCAGUGCUUGUGUUGUGCUGUGAACUGUGAGGCAGGCUGGAAAGGAGAGAAAAUCACCAGCUGCCAGGAACCUUCCCUGCAUGGCACACAUAGCUGACACUCCAGCAUAAUUGGUGCUCAUAUGAGAGGAGAGGGCACAGCAGCUGUAUUACAGCCGUACAGAGUCCAUUGGCAUGAAUGCACCAUCAGCAAGCAGCAAAGCAAAAUGCAUCCCAAACCCUCACUGACAUGUUCUAUUCACUCAUGGCAGAGGGAUGUGUUUGACAGGGGAGCUGAGGUUUGCUCCAAAGGCAUCAGCACAGUCAGCCCAGGGCCAUCCUCCAGCACUGCCCUGCAUGGGGACAGCCCUUGUGCAACAGCGAGCCGAGGUGGCACAACCAGAUUGCAAUAGCUGCUGACUUCUCUAAGUACAGCUGCUCACAUCAGGCAGGCUCAGCACAGGCAGCUCACUGUGACACACGGUUGGCACCGUGAGAGCGGCGCUUAUUAUGACUACAGCCACGCUCAUUGUUUUACAUGAAGAUGAUCAGGAAUAAGUUAAAAUAAACAGAAAUGGGAGUGUCUGCAAGGGGUCUGCAUUGUCCUCGCUGAGCUGGUGG
ensembl:lncRNA